rnacentral:rRNA from 1 species
UACGGAGGGUGCAAGCGUUAAUCGGAAUUACUGGGCGUAAAGCGUGCGCAGGCGGUUUGUUAAGUCUGCUGUGAAAUCCCCGAGCUCAACUUGGGAAUUGCAGUGGAUACUGGCAAGCUGGAGUACGGUAGAGGAAGGUGGAAUUCCCGGUGUAGCAGUGAAAUGAGUAGAGAUCGGGAGGAACACCAGUGGCGAAGGCGGCCUUCUGGACCAGUACUGACGCUCAUGCACGAAAGCGUGGGGAGCAAACAGG